GUGAGGAUAAAGUAACGUCUAUCUCAGCAGUGUAGUUACUCACUGUGCCUGUUUCCUCUUCUAACCUCUUCUCUAUCUUCAUUAAAACUGAUACACCAAUACAGUUUUUUUUUGUUGGUGCAUCAAACAACACCGCGCAGCCAAUUACAGUUUCCGCUGGAGAGAUCCGUAAGCGGUGAAGCUAAGAUUUAGGCUUAUUCGAUGAAAGUAACGAUAGGCACAAAGGAGCUAAACCCUAAAGAGCAGAUAAUCAGCUACAAAAGUAUUGAAAACUGUCAAUGAUGUUAUUAACAUAAAUAGUCAUAAUAAUGAUAGAAAAUAAAUAGAAUGUUUCUGGAUUCCCUUCGAUGUCAGAUUUCCUCAGACCUUCUGAACGGGGUUAACCGUCUCAGUCCACCGCGUGCACAGUAAAAUUCCCAGCAGCUCAGCUGUGAAAACAAACAAAUGAUCAGAGAAGCAGAUGCCACAUUGGAUGUGAAGAGGGCAACAUGACAUCUUCCUAUCACCAUCCUGAAUCCACACACCAGUAUAUUGAACUUUUUCCUUUGUGUCAGAGGCGGUCCUGGCUAAAUCUGCGCCCCGGGCGCCCAUAGCAAAAACCGGCCCUUGCUCUGUGUCCGCAGGUAUUUCUUCCUCUGGAGCUGUAGAGUCUGAUCUGUGAUGACAAGUCUCCUGCUGCUCCUACAACUCCCCUCAACACCUGCUGCUACAUUUAGAAAUUAUUAGUACUGCUUCAAGUAUUACUGCUACUUAUGCAUUUACUACUAAAAUUGUCAUUACAAUCUUUUUUUUUUUUUUCAACUCAAGCAGUCGAGGCAGAUGUCCACCCAGCCUGAGUCUGGUUCUGCUCGAGGUUUCUGCCUCUUAAAAGGACGUUUUUCCUUGCCACUGUCGCCUAGUGCUGCUCAUGGUGGACCUGUUGGGUCUCUCUCCAUAAAAAUAUAAGAGUACGGUCUAGACCUGCUCUAUAUGAAAAGUGCCUUGAGAUAACUUCUGUUGUGAUAUGGCCCUUUAAAAAUAAAACUGAACUGAAUUGAAUGAUAUGUGAUAUUCCAGCAGACUAAACGUUUAGGUUUUUAGGCAAGGCACCUUUAUUGUAUUUGUUGAUAAUUGUUGCUCCCUUCCUUCUACACUUCUUUGUCGAGAUAUAUAUAAAAGGAGUAUCGUCUAGGUGUCAUUUCUCAGACAGAUAAAAAUUCAAAUAGAUGAACCAAAUGGAAAUUCGAGUCUUAUACCAUGUCAAACAAUACCAAUAAAGCUUGGUGCUCCAGGGAGAGGUGUUUGUGGAGCAUUUGCAGAACCUACAUUUGGCUCUUGAUGUUUCCUUAGCUGACCAGAGUCCUCAGUCCGACUGGGUGACUUGCUCUCUGGUUGGUGAAAACCAAUGCAAAUGUUAACUUGUGUGGUAUCCCACAGCAGAGAAGUGAUGACCUGUGAAAUAGGAGAGGGUGUGUGCAUCGGGAGAUGGUUGAGGUUUGACGCUGUCUCUCGUUCACAUACUGGUGGCAGUCUGAAACUGAUGCUGUUUGACCUUGGCAAUUCUCACACUGAAAUGCCAUACCUCCCCCGAACUAUAGAGUCUGUACUAAGUUCACCAUAAUCCUCCCCCGACAGGACAGACGGACCAGCAGAGUCCAGCAAUAAAAGGGGAAAGAGGAGUUCAGACUAGAGGGGCUAGUCUGAACUAACUAACUAACUAACUAAUUAACUAAUUAAUUAACUAGAGGGUUAAGGCCUUCCCUCAAUUGACCCCUUGGCACCCCAGCUGAGCAGUUUUGCUUUCAGCAGGUCUGACAAAGGUAGAGUCAUUGUUAAAAUGUUUUUUUGCUGGGAUGUUAUGGUUUCUGGUGAUCAAGGAACCCCAUGCAUUGACAAAAUUUCAAAAAUACCUUAAGGCUACCAGAGGCUAUGUAGAACAAGCACAUAGUGCAGGCCUGGACCUUCAAUGACUCCAGCAUGACUAUAAUUGAGCUCACAGCUCUCAUCAGCUAGAUUUUGCAAAGAACCUUGACUGUUCUUGAAGAAAGAAUGUAAGACCUUCAUUAGGGAGCUUUUCCUUUCAAGGGAUUUUAGCUGUAACAGAAUGUGGACCAUCAAUAUGAAUCAUUGUGUAUAGCUCUUUGCAUUUGCCUAUACUGCCUUGUCUCGUGAAAAUAACAUGUCAUGUUGUAAUCACUGCCUGCCUCAAAUUGAUUGAGUGAAGGAAGUGCUACAUUUUUUCUAUCACAUGUGAGUCAUUGGAGGGCAGUUAGUGUUCUGAGCUCAAGACUCUCACCAGAGACCACAGCCAUGUCUGGUUAUAUUAAGG